rnacentral:lncRNA from 1 species
AGAGGAAUUGAAUUCGAAAAACUUGAUAUAAAUGAAAAGGCUCAUAAAAAUAAAAUUAUCCCAAAAUUAUAAUCUUGGACAAAAGUAUUUGACUAGCAAUUUGAAUCCCAAAAAGCUCGUCAAAAUAAAGUUAUCCCAUAAUUAUAAUCUUGAAAUUAUAAUUAAGAACACACCCAUGAAUAGAUAACACCAACAACCAAAUACGGAAUAAAGUUAACCCCAAAUUUUAUAUCGGAAUAACCUCAAAUCCAUGUAAAUAGGGAAAGAAAUAGAAAUUAAACACAAAUUGAAUCAAAAUCUUCUUCUUUGAUUGAAACUAUCCGAUAUGUAUACAAGAAGAACUAGCCUUAAUAAUAAUAAUCUAAAACUAGUACAAAAUUUGUUAAUUAACCCCCAUUUUAACUAAUUUAAUUUCCUCCAUUGCUAUAUGUACACUCCCAAUAUGAGGGAAAAGAACAAUAGAAAAGAAUAUAAAACAAAAAACCCUAAAUUUUUUCAAUCAUGCCAACAAAGAAGCAUGACUACACAUCUUCUAAUAAUGUAAAGUUUGGCUCUUUGUUCUCUAAGAACUCCUCCAACUCCUCUACUUGAAAUUCUCCUCUUUGAACUUCCCAUAUUUGAGCUUCCCAUCUUCAUAUUUGAUUCAAAUUGUUGUGUGUGGUUACAAAAUCAAGAAAAUGAAGGAAGAAAAAUGGAAUCUUUGAUUUUCUUGAUUUAGAGCUUUGAGUUCUUGAUGAUGUGUUAAGAGAUUGAAUUGAAUGUGUUGAAGUUUGAGUAGUAAGAGGGGGUUCUUAUAGGUGAGUUUGGAGAGUGGUCCAAAAUUGUAUUGGUCUAGUAAAGAGGACACUAUGGGGGCCAUCAAAGGAUGUGAAAUGCCUCUUAUGUGGGUCCUACUUUUCAC